AUUACCGCGGCUGCUGGCACAUAGUUAGCCGGUGCUUCUUCUGCAGGUACCGUCACUUUCGCUUCUUCCCUGCUGAAAGCGGUUUACAACCCGAAGGCCUUCAUCCCGCACGCGGCGUCGCUGGGUCAGAGUUUCCUCCAUUGCCCAAUAUUCCCCACUGCUGCCUCCCGUAGGCCCCCCGUGCCCCCGCCCCGCCCGCCGCGCGCGGCGGGCGA
rnacentral:rRNA from 1 species